AGAGUUUGAUCAUGGCUCAGGAUGAACGCUAGCUACAGGCUUAACACAUGCAAGUCGAGGGACAGCAUUGGAGUAGCAAUACUUCAGGUGGCGACCGGCGCACGGGUGAGUAACACGUAUCCAACCUGCCGCUUACUCGGGGAUAGCCUUUCGAAAGAAAGAUUAAUACCCGAUGGUAUAAAGAGUUCGCAUGUUCUCUUUACUAAAGAAUUUCGGUGAGCGAUGGGAUGCGUUCCAUUAGAUAGUUGGCGGGUAACGGCCCACCAAGUCUACGAUGGAUAGGGGUUCUGAGAGGAAGGUCCCCCACAUUGGAACUGAGACACGGUCCAAACUCCUACGGGAGGCAGCAGUGAGGAAUAUUGGUCAAUGGACGAGAGUCUGAACCAGCCAAAGUAGCGUGAAGGAUGACUGCCCUAUGGGUUGUAAACUUCUUUUAUAAGGGAAUAAAGUGAGGGACGUGUCCCUUUUUGUAUGUACCUUAUGAAUAAGGAUCGGCUAACUCCGUGCCAGCCGCGGC
rnacentral:rRNA from 1 species